AUCCAGACUCCUACGGGAGGCAGCAGUGGGGAAUAUUGCACAAUGGGGGAAACCCUGAUGCAGCGACGCCGCGUGAGCGAUGAAGUAUUUCGGUAUGUAAAGCUCUAUCAGCAGGGAAGAAGAUGACGGUACCUGACUAAGAAGCCCCGGCUAACUACGUGCCAGCAGCCGCGGUAAUACGUAGGGGGCAAGCGUUAUCCGGAUUUACUGGGUGUAAAGGGAGCGUAGACGGCGAUGCAAGCCAGAUGUGAAAGCCCGGGGCUCAACCCCGGGACUGCAUUUGGAACUGUGUGGCUGGAGUGUCGGAGAGGCAGGCGGAAUUCCUAGCGUAGCGGUGAAAUGCGUAGAUAUUAGGAGGAACACCAGUGGCGAAGGCGGCCUGCUGGACGAUGACUGACGUUGAGGCUCGAAAGCGUGGGGAGCAAACAGGAUUAGAUACCCUGGUA
rnacentral:rRNA from 1 species